UACGGAGGGUGCGAGCGUUGUUCGGAAUUACUGGGCGUAAAGCGCGUGCAGGCGGCCGACUAAGUCAGGUGUGAAAGCCCGGGGCUACACCUCCGGAAGUGCGCUUGAAACUGGUCGGCUAGAGUACGGGAGAGGGAAGCGGAAUUCCUGGUGUAGCGGUGAAAUGCGUAGAUAUCAGGAGGAACACCAAUGGCGAAGGCAGCUCUCUGGGACGGUACUGACGCUGAGACGCGAAAGCGUGGGGAGCGAACAGG
rnacentral:rRNA from 1 species